AAACCUUUUACCUCUUUUCAUUGUCGUACAACAGCACAAACACCCUAAUCUCUGUACACAACAAGAACCAAAUGAACCCUAGCCUUCACGCAGUCAGCAAAGCCAUAGCUGGCAAUGUUAUUUUUGGCUCAUAACAGCACGCGGUGUUUCAUCCUCAGACACGGUUCGGCCAAAAAUGGCAAACAGUUAUGGUUCUUGUCUUCAGAUGACAAAUGGUAACAUGCUUUCUUAAAACCUUUUUGAUUUCUUUUUUUUCGGAUUUCAAACAUUUGUUUACAAAUCAACGGAUUUCAAACAAAUUUAAAAAUGAAUUUCAAAUUUGCGAAAUGUCCCACAUCGGUUGAACCCUCGUAAUUGGGACUUUUGGUGCUCUAUAUAAAGAACCCCAUUCUCUUCUUCAAAAGCACAGUUUUCUAGCCCAAAAAACAACUGAGUUUUUAGUUCACUUAACUUAAAACAAGAAAGUUUCUUGUAAAGUCGAGUCUCUGCGUUUAAAAUUUUCUUUUGAUUCAUCUCUUACACUGAGUCAAAGUCAAAGGUGAAAGUGAUCGUCAUCUCUCGUCGCCCCCGUCCCUGCCUACAAAGAAGUGAAAUACCUCAACGAGUCUACACGAACUCUAGCCUUUAGCAUUCUGUUUUGGGCCCGUGGCCCAAAACAAUAUUCCGUUGAGUCAAGCCCAACAUUCAUUCUAUCAUGUCCGAUGCUUUGAAGGCCCAACCAUGGGUGAAAAUGGCAACUGGUGGGCUCGGUAGGCCUGCCAGUCUAACUUUUCUCUUUAUUUCAUAUUUGUGUACAUGUAUAUGUAAAUAAUGUCUGUAUAAAUAUUGAAACCCAAUGGUUAGAACU